rnacentral:rRNA from 1 species
UACGUAGGGGGCUAGCGUUGUCCGGAAUCAUUGGGCGUAAAGCGUGUGUAGGCGGUUCGGUAAGUCCGCUGUGAAAGUCGGGGGCUCAACCCUCGGAUGCCGGUGGAUACUGUCGGACUAGAGUACGGAAGAGGCGAGUGGAAUUCCUGGUGUAGCGGUGAAAUGCGCAGAUAUCAGGAGGAACACCGGUGGCGAAGGCGGUUCUCUGGCAUUACCUGACGGCUGAGGAAGCGAAAGGUGUGGGGAGCGAACAGG